GUUGGUGAGGUAACGGCUCACCAAGGCGACGAUCCCUAGCUGGUCUGAGAGGAUGACCAGCCACACUGGAACUGAGACACGGUCCAGACUCCUACGGGAGGCAGCAGUGGGGAAUAUUGCACAAUGGGCGCAAGCCUGAUGCAGCCAUGCCGCGUGUAUGAAGAAGGCCUUCGGGUUGUAAAGUACUUUCAGCGGGGAGGAAGGUGUUGUGGUUAAUAACCGCAGCAAUUGACGUUACCCGCAGAAGAAGCACCGGCUAACUCCGUGCCAGCAGCCGCGGUAAUACGGAGGGUGCAAGCGUUAAUCGGAAUUACUGGGCGUAAAGCGCACGCAGGCGGUCUGUCAAGUCGGAUGUGAAAUCCCCGGGCUCAACCUGGGAACUGCAUUCGAAACUGGCAGGCUUGAGUCUUGUAGAGGGGGGUAGAAUUCCAGGUGUAGCGGUGAAAUGCGUAGAGAUCUGGAGGAAUACCGGUGGCGAAGGCGGCCCCCUGGACAAAGACUGACGCUCAGGUGCGAAAGCGUGGGGAGCAAACAGGAUUAGAUACCCUGGUAGUCCACGCCGUAAACGAUGUCUACUUGGAGGUUGUGCCCUUGAGGCGUGGCUUCCGGAGCUAACGCGUUAAGUAGACCGCCUGGGGAGUACGGCCGCAAGGUUAAAACUCAAAUGAAUUGACGGGGGCCCGCACAAGCGGUGGAGCAUGUGGUUUAAUUCGAUGCAACGCGAAGAACCUUACCUGGUCUUGACAUCCACGGAAGUUUUCAGAGAUGAGAAUGUGCCUUCGGGAACCGUGAGACAGGUGCUGCAUGGCUGUCGUCAGCUCGUGUUGUGAAAUGUUGGGUUAAGUCCCGCAACGAGCGCAACCCUUAUCCUUUGUUGCCAGCGGUUAGGCCGGGAACUCAAAGGAGACUGCCAGUGAUAAACUGGAGGAAGGUGGGGAUGACGUCAAGUCAUCAUGGCCCUUACGACCAGGGCUACACACGUGCUACAAUGGCGCAUACAAAGAGAAGCGACCUCGCGAGAGCAAGCGGACCUCAUAAAGUGCGUCGUAGUCCGGAUUGGAGUCUGCAACUCGACUCCAUGAAGUCGGAAUCGCUAGUAAUCGUGGAUCAGAAUGCCACGGUGAAUACGUUCCCGGGCCUUGUACACACCGCCCGUCACACCAUGGGAGUGGGUUGCAAAAGAAGUAGGUAGCUUAACCUUCGGGAGGGCGCUUACCACUUUGUGAUUCAUGACUGGGGUGAAGUCGUAACAAGGUAACCGUAGGGGAACCUGCGGUUGGAUCACCUCCUUACCUUAAAGAAGC
rnacentral:rRNA from 1 species